rnacentral:rRNA from 1 species
AGCUAAGGUCCCAAAGUCAUGGUUAAGAGAAACGAUGUGGGAAGGCCCAGACAGCCAGGAUGUUGGCUUAGAAGCAGCCAUCGUUUAAAGAAAGCGUAAUAGCUCACUGGUCUAAUGGCUCUGCGCCGAAAAUGUAACGGGGCUAAGCAUGGUACCGAAGCUUUGGCAAUCUCCUUUGGAGAUUGGGUAGGGGAGCGUUCGCUGCGGGCUGAAGGUGUAUCGGAAGGUAUGCUGGACUGCAGUGAAGUGAUUAUGCUGACAUGAGUAACGAUAAAAUAUGUGAAAAACAUAUUCGCCGAAAACCCGAGGUUUCCUGGGUAAAGGUAAUCUUCCCAGGGUUAGUCGGAUCCUAAGGUGAGGGUGAAAGCCGUAACCGAUGGAAAACAGGUUAAUAUUCCUGUACUUGUUGUGUAGCGCGAUGGAGGGACGCAGGAAGAUAGGCGGGCCGGGUGUUGGAUAUCCCGGUGCAAGCGUGUAGGAAUAUCCGGUAGGCAAAUCCGCCGGACGAAUCUGAGACGCGAGUCCGUGGGCGCAAGCCCUGAAGCCGUUGAGUCUAUGCUGCCUAGAAAAGCUCCUAAGUUUAUCCACAGCAAUCCGUACCGCAAACCAACUCAGGUGGGUGGGAUGAACAAUCCAAGGCGCUCGAGAGAACUCUGGCCAAGGAACUCGGCAAAAUAACCCCGUAACUUCGGAAGAAGGGGUGCUCUCUAGGGUGACAUGUUUAACAUAUGAAGCCCCGGGGAGCCGCAGUGAAUUGGUGGUGGCGACUGUUUACUAAAAACAUAGGUCUGUGCGAAGUCCUAAAGACGACGUAUACGGACUGACGCCUGCCCGGUGCUGGAAGGUUAAAAGGAGGGGUCAGCGCAAGCAAAGCUCCGAAUUGAAGCCCCAGUAAACGGCGGCCGUAACUAUAACGGUCCUAAGGUAGCGAAAUUCCUUGUCGGGUAAGUUCCGACCUGCACGAAUGGCGUAACGAUCUCCACACUGUCUCGGCCAGAGACUCGGUGAAAUUGCAGUCGCGGUGAAAAUUCCGUGUACCCGCAGAAAGACGGAAAGACCCUGUGCACCUUUACUAUAGCUUGACAUUGGAUUUUGGGCCUGCAUGUGUAGGAUAGGUGGGAGGCUGUGAACCCUGUACGCCAGUAUGGGGGGAGCCAUCCUUGAAAUACCACCCUUGCAUGUUUAAGAUCCUAACUUCUUCCGGUUAUCCCGGAGAAAGACAGUGUCUGGCGGGUAGUUUGACUGGGGCGGUCGCCUCCUAAAGUGUAACGGAGGCAUGCAAAGGUUCCCUCAGCCUGAUCGGAAACCAGGCGCUGAGUGCAAACGCAUAAGGGAGCUUGACUGUAAGAGAGACAUCUCGAACAGGAACGAAAGUUGGCGUUAGUGAUCCGGUGGUCCCGAAUGGAAGGGCCAUCGCUCAUUGGAUAAAAGGUACGCCGGGGAUAACAGGCUGAUCGCAUCCAAGAGUUCACAUCGACGAUGCGGUUUGGCACCUCGAUGUCGGCUCAUCACAUCCUGGGGCUGAAGUAGGUCCCAAGGGUUGGGCUGUUCGCCCCUUAAAGUGGUACGUGAGCUGGGUUUAAAACGUCGUGAGACAGUUUGGUCCCUAUCUUCUGUGGGCGAAGGAGAAUUGAGAGGGCCUGUCCCUAGUACGAGAGGACCGGGAUGGACGCACCCCUGGUGAUCCUGUUGUCGCGCCAGCGGCAUAGCAGGGUAGCUAUGUGCGGAAGGGAUAACCGCUGAAAGCAUCUAAGCGGGAAGCCUGCCUCAAGAUAAGUUCUCCCCUCGAAAGAGCUGAAGGGCCCGGGUAGACUACCCGGUCGAUAGGCUGGAGGUGUAAGCGCGGCGACGUGCUCAGCUGACCAGUACUAAUAGCCCGAGCGGCUUAUUU